UACGUAGGGGGCAAGCGUUGUCCGGACUUACUGGGCGUAAAGCGCGUGCAGGCGGAUUGGUAUGUGCCGUGUGAAAGCUCUCAGCUUGCCUGGGAGAGGUCGCGGUAGACAGCCGAUCUGGAGGCUCGGAGAGGUCAGUGGAAUUCCCGGUGUAGUGGUGAAAUGCGCAGAUAUCAGGAGGAACACCAGUGGCGAAGGCGACUUCCUGGCCUGUUCUUGACGCUGAGGCGCGAAAGCUAGGGUAGCAAACGGG
rnacentral:rRNA from 1 species